AGACCCGAAACCCGGUGAUCUAGCCAUGGGCAGGUUGAAGGUUGGGUAACACUAACUGGAGGACCGAACCGACUAAUGUUGAAAAAUUAGCGGAUGACCUGUGGCUGGGGGUGAAAGGCCAAUCAAACCGGGAGAUAGCUGGUUCUCCCCGAAAGCUAUUUAGGUAGCGCCUCGUGAAUUCAUCUCCGGGGGUAGAGCACUGUUUCGGCUAGGGGGCCAUCCCGGCUUACCAACCCGAUGCAAACUGCGAAUACCGGAGAAUGUUAUCACGGGAGACACACGGCGGGUGCUAACGUCCGUCGUGAAGAGGGAAACAACCCAGACCGCCAGCUAAGGUCCCAAAGUCAUGGUUAAGUGGGAAACGAUGUGGGAAGGCCCAGACAGCCAGGAUGUUGGCUUAGAAGCAGCCAUCAUUUAAAGAAAGCGUAAUAGCUCACUGGUCGAGUCGGCCUGCGCGGAAGAUGUAACGGGGCUAAACCAUGCACCGAAGCUGCGGCAGCGACACUCAGGUGUUGUUGGGUA
rnacentral:rRNA from 4 species